AACUAUGUGGGAGCAAGGCUUGCCCGCGAUCCAGGCGAUGCGGUCUUUAACGCGAGGCCCGUUUCGCGAGCAAGCUUUGCUCCCACACAAAU
rnacentral:misc_RNA from 1 species